rnacentral:lncRNA from 1 species
GGAAAGGCAUGCCCCUGGGACAAAUUUCCUAGGCUCCGCAACAGGACACAGAGACUUGCUCACUGGUGGCAGAUCACUGGAACUUGAGACAGAAGACAACAGAAUGAGGGCUGCUGCUGUUGGUGUCUCGUCUGUCUUUUUCCUUUGCUGGGGGGUCUUGCUUUCAGAUGGUUGUGAUGUAUCCAGGCAGAAUGUCCAGCCACCUUCACCGCCAAGGGAGUUGACAGGACAACAGGAACCAGUCCUUUCUAACGAGGUUCCAGGGUCUUGGAAUCAAACCUGUGAAUAAAAACCAAAUCUUCUGGCUUAUAGGCUGUAAAAGUUGCCGAGAUCCAACCGUGGAUCCACCACUCCCGAGUGAAGAAAUCCCACACUGAGACCAACACUGAAGGCCAGAAAAGACAAUGCACUCAAAGCUCUGCAACUGUCACUCCGGAGGCUGAUGGGCAAUGCACAGCUGAAGACUGAGGAUCGGCCUACAUGAAGAUAGGGUGACUAAGCAAAAUCCAAAUUCAAAGGCAUCAAUUGAUCGGAGAACAGAAAUGUAACAGAGGAGAGGUAAAAUGAUGAAUGUUACUUUGUUAAAGAAGAAAAAAUUCAAUUCCUCUCCAUCAGGCACUGUUUGACUAGUGACGGCUGGCACCUUCACAAGUGGCACCCGAACAGGGACCUGAGCACAGAGGACAAGGUGAAGGACGCCGCCGGAUUGUGAGCUCAGAUAAAUGCACAGAAACUAACACCUGCUGAUGGAUUAUGGCAUCCAAAUACAAAAACAUCCUAUGCACAAGUAAAAUGGAAAGACCCCCUCACGGGCC